UCUCGUUGGCAACACUAAAUAGUAGAAUUUAUUGUUACAUGUCAUCUGACACUGCACAUUAGUCUUGAUUAAUUCCAGGCGACUUAAACGUUAGGUUGUGCUUAUUAACGUACGAGAAAUAUUUAUAGGAUUUUACCAUGUAAAAUAACUUCAUUAAUCGCUCCCACAAAGUGAAAAGAUAUCACAAGAUACAAGUUUUAUGCAUAAGAGUUUAUUUUUCCCAGGAGUAAGAAAUUACGUCUGUAAGCUAUUUUCUUUGAACACUGGAAUUGUUUUGUGUGCAUGGAAUUAUUCUGAACUCGCUGAAUUAACACACGGAAUUUUUAAAGUUACAAUUUAAAUAUAAAUCAGGUUUUGAAAGACUAUUUUUGUUAUUUUCGCUGUGUUUUAUCGCAAGGAGCAAACUGCGUCACAUUUUGUGGAUAACCUUGGAAUGAAUACCUGUAUAAGGAUAUGUAAAUCAAGGUCUGCAGAUGACGCAUAUAGUUGUUGGAUGUAUUAGAGAGUGGAAUGUUAAAGUGAAUUAUGCAGAAUUAUGUAAAGUUUUAAUGGAAUAAGAUCGGAAAGAUAAAUCUAUGCAUCAGAAACUAAACUCUGAGAACUGAAACUUUUCGAACCUAAACCCAAACCUUCUUCUUAGCGAUCUUCCCAUAUUGGAUUAAUGCGCACUUCACUUCACUUGUCCUGUUGCUGCUUGGACAUCAUUUUCACUGUGUUCCUUUCCUAUCACAAUAGUAUUGAAAAAUGUAAAUGUUCUGGAAAUAGGCACGAUUAGAGUGCCAAAUAAAUUGUGGCUUCAAAUGUGAAUUUAAAUAAAAAUGGAAUUUAAUCAGC